AAAAAUUAGCUGGGUGUGGUGGCAUGUGCCUGUGCUACUUGGAAGGCUAAGGUGGAAGAAUUGCUUGAGACUGCAAGGUCGAGGCUGUAGGAAGCUGAGAUGGUGCCACUGCACUCCAGACUGGGUGACAGCCCCUGUCUCAAAAAAAA